CAACCUCAGAGUCUGACAACGCUCAGGAUGAACACUCGCAACAGGCUUAACACAUGCAAGUCGGGGGGAAACGGCAUCUGUGAUUGCACAUUCCAGAGUCCACCCGGCGCACGGCAGAGUAUCGAGUAUACACCAUGCCCCUUAUCGGGGCAACCCCGUUGAAAGACGGCCUACUACCCGAUGUGUUUCAUUGACGGCAUCCGAUAUGAAACCAAGGGUUUUCCGGUCAGGGAUGGGGAUGCGUCUGAUUAGCUUGUUGGCGGGGCAACGGCCCACCAAGGCGACGAUCCGUAGGGGUUCUGAGAGGAAGGUCCCCCACAUUGGAAAUGAGACACGGUCCAAACUCCUACGGGAGGCAGCAGUGAGGAAUAUUGGUCAAUGGACGCAAGUCUGAACCAGCCAAGUAGCGUGCAGGAUGACGGCCCUAUGGGUUGUAAACUGCUUUUAUGGGGGAAUAAAGUGGCGCACGUGUGCGCCAUUGCAUGUACCUCAUGAAUAAGGACCGGCUAAUUCCGUGCCAGCAGCCGCGGUAAUACGGAAGGUCCGGGCGUUAUCCGGAUUUAUUGGGUUUAAAGGGAGUGUAGGCGGUCUGUUAAGCGUGUUGUGAAAUUUAGGUGCUCAACAUUUAACUUGCAGCGCGAACUGUCAGACUUGAGUACACGCAGCGCAGGCGGAAUUCAUGGUGUAGCGGUGAAAUGCUUAGAUAUCAUGAGGAACUCCGAUCGCGAAGGCAGCCUGCGGGAGUGUUACUGACGCUUAAGCUCGAAGGUGCGGGUAUCGAACAGG
rnacentral:rRNA from 1 species